AUGUAUUCUCAGCUUUGAGAACUGAAUUCCAUGGGUUGUAAUUGAAUCUGCUGUCAGACCCAUGGGACUCAGUUCUUCAGCUUGGAUAUUUCUG
rfam:Podiceps cristatus contig79043, whole genome shotgun sequence.